UACGGAGGGUGCGAGCGUUGUCCGGAAUCACUGGGCGUAAAGGGCGCGUAGGCGGCCUGAUAAGUAGGGGGUGAAAUCCUGCGGCUUAACCGCAGGGCUGCCUUCUAAACUGUCAGGCUUGAGCACAGUAGAGGCAGGUGGAAUUCCCGGUGUAGCGGUGGAAUGCGUAGAGAUCGGGAGGAACAUCAGUGGCGAAGGCGGCUGCCUGGCCCAAUACUGACACUCAGGUGCGACAGCGUGGGGAGCAAACAGG
rnacentral:rRNA from 1 species